GACGAACGCUGGCGGCGUGCUUAACACAUGCAAGUCGAACGGAAGGGCGCUGCUUUUGUGGGGUGCUCGAGUGGCGAACGGGUGAGUAACACGUGAGUAACCUGCCCUUGACUUUGGGAUAACUUCAGGAAACUGGGGCUCAUACCGGAUAGGAGCUCCUGCUGCAUGGUGGGGGUUGGAAAGUUUCGGCGGUUGGGGCUGGACUGGCGGCUUAUCAGCUUGUUGGUGGGGUAGUGGCUUACCAAGGCUUUGACGGGUAGCCGGCCUGAGAGGGUGACCGGCCACAUUGGGACUGAGAUACGGCCCAGACGCCUACGGGAGGCAGCAGUGGGGAAUAUUGCACAAUGGGCGGAAGCCUGAUGCAGCAACGCCGCGUGCGGGAUGACGGCCUUCGGGUUGUAAACCGCUUUCGCCUGUGACGAAGCGUGAGUGACGGUAAUGGGUAAAGAAGCACCGGCUAACUACGUG
rnacentral:rRNA from 1 species